rnacentral:rRNA from 1 species
UGUUUAGCGGCGGACGGGUGAGUAACACGUGGGCAACCUGCCCUGCAGAUCGGGAUAACUCCGGGAAACCGGUGCUAAUACCGAAUAGUUUGUCGCCUCUCCUGAGGCGGCACGGAAAGACGGUUUCGGCUGUCACUGCAGGAUGGGCCCGCGGCGCAUUAGCUAGUUGGUGGGGUAAUGGCCCACCAAGGCGACGAUGCGUAGCCGACCUGAGAGGGUGAUCGGCCACACUGGGACUGAGACACGGCCCAGACUCCUACGGGAGGCAGCAGUAGGGAAUCUUCCGCAAUGGACGCAAGUCUGACGGAGCAACGCCGCGUGAGUGACGAAGGUUUUCGGAUCGUAAAACUCUGUUGUGAGGGAAGAACACGUACCAGUUAACUACUGGUACCUUGACGGUACCUCACCAGAAAGCCACGGCUAACUACGUGCCAGCAGCCGCGGUAAUACGUAGGUGGCAAGCGUUGUCCGGAAUUAUUGGGCGUAAAGCGCGCGCAGGCGGUUCUUUAAGUCUGAUGUGAAAGCCCACGGCUCAACCGUGGA